UUAAUUUCUAUUCGACCAAACCUUGAAAAACUGGGGCAAUGUUAAUAAUGGUUGAUGAGGAUUUACCAACAACUCACAUUUCUUUCUAGGAAAUUUCUACCCUAGACAGCUGCCUGGUAUAAAAGAGAUACAAGGGAUGAGGACCUAACCAUAGAAUAUUUAUUUCAUUAGAAGAUAUGGGCUUCAAGAGCUUCUUCUUCUUUGUUAUUUACAUAAUCAGCUUGCUUGUGUUUCUGCUGUUUCCAUCUGAGAUGGUGCUAGCCAGACAAGUCCUGCAGGUCCCUACAACCAGUGAGUUAGUUAUCAUCAGUUGCUGCUUUCUCUCACUCGUCAUCUUUAGCUAGCUCUGUGGUUUUCAAUACUAAAUAAUAAUUUAUUAUCUGUUGUUACAGAAGAGCAGCUACACAAUUUUCAGGAAAGUAAAACUGAAGCACCUGGAAGUCCUUCAGUACGCGGACCACAUGGACUGGCGCCUCCCGCUACCUAGCUUUUAUCCCAGGGCUGUUCCUCUGCGGAAAACACCAAAUUCCCAUAUUUAAAUAAAUUAUAUAUAUAUAUAUAUAUAUAUAUAUAUAUAUAUAUAAUAUUGUAUGAACUUUGUAUCGUUAAUUAAUAUUAGUGAAAAAAUAUAUUACAUUCGUAAUAAUGUAAUAUUGCUAUUUCUAAAUGCAAAAUCAUUAAUAUAAAAAUAAAUUUAUCGUAGCA
rnacentral:lncRNA from 1 species